UACAGAGGUCCCAAGCGUUGUUCGGAUUCACUGGGCGUAAAGGGUGCGUAGGCGGUCGGGUAAGUCUGAUGUGAAAUCUCACAGCUUAACUGUGAAACUGCAUUGGAUACUAUCCGGCUCGAGGAAUGGAGGGGAGACUGGAAUACUUGGUGUAGCAGUGAAAUGCGUAGAUAUCAAGUGGAACACCCGUGGCGAAGGCGGUUCUCUGGGACGGUACUGACGCUGAGACGCGAAAGCGUGGGGAGCGAACAGG
rnacentral:rRNA from 1 species